rnacentral:rRNA from 1 species
CCCGGGCCUUGUACACACCGCCCGUCACACCAUGGGAGUUGGUUCUACCCUAAGCCGGUACGCUAACCGCAAGGAGGCAGCCGUCCACGGUAGGGUCAAUGACUGGGGUG